UCUAAACAGCACAAACAGCAUUCUUCUAAAUCAAUCGAAUCGUCUCUGGUGAAGUUGUUUGGAAAUUCGCCUGCUCCUCGAGUACUAGUGUUGGCUCCUUUAGUACUAGUCUUCGCUUCUUCCCCAGCUGCUGCUGUUGGAGUCUCAUCAUUCUCAUUGCCUCUGCUCAUAGGCUUGACUACUUGAUUACUCAAUUUUGUUUCUGGUGGCACCGGAUUACUAUCCUCCUUAUCUUGCUUCAAACUCUCCGGUUCGAUAUGUACAUCAUUCCAGAUGAUCUUUGGUUGAGAUAAUGCUUGAUCGUCUGCAGCUUUGUUUGAAGAAACCUCCUUAGAAGACAUUAUCUGUAUUUUAUCAAGACAAUUAUAAUUUAUAUAAUAUGAAUACGAUCUGCGAAUAAUACAAUCAAAUAUGUGAAUAACAGAUCGUGUAUAAAAUUAAAAAACAAACAUAGAAUGAUGCUAAAGAAGAUACAAAUUCUCGAGUUCAGUCAAAACUGCUUUCCGCCUCUCACCGUAUGUGUUGAGUCGGAGGACAGAGUAAAGGAGUGACG
rnacentral:lncRNA from 1 species